rnacentral:rRNA from 3 species
CACACGACUCUCGGCAACGGAUAUCUCGGCUCUCGCAUCGAUGAAGAACGUAGCGAAAUGCGAUACCUGGUGUGAAUUGCAGAAUCCCGCGAACCAUCGAGUCUUUGAACGCAAGUUGCGCCCGAGGCCACUUGGCCGAGGGCACGCCUGCCUGGGCGUCACGA